rnacentral:tRNA from 1 species
UCAGUGGCCGAGUGGAUAACGCGAUGGCGUUUGAAGCGAAAAGUACUGGGUUCGAGUCCCAGAAUGA